GGAGGAAUAUUGGUCAAUGGGGCGCGAGCCUGAACCAGCCAAGUAGCGUGCGGGAGGAAGGCCCUAUGGGUUGUAAACCGCUUUUACCGGGGGAUAAAGUGAGCGACGUGUCGCUCAUUGCAGGUACCCGGCGAAUAAGGACCGGCUAAUUCCGUGCCAGCAGCCGCGGUAAUACGGAAGGUCCGGGCGUUAUCCGGAUUUAUUGGGUUUAAAGGGAGCGUAGGCCGGAGAUUAAGCGUGUUGUGAAAUGUAGUGGCUCAACCUCUGCACUGCAGCGCGAACUGGUCUUCUUGAGUACGCACAACGUGGCGGAAUUCGUGGUGUAGCGGUGAAAUGCUUAGAUAUCACGAAGAACUCCGAUUGCGAAGGCAGUUCACGGGAGCGCAACUGACGCUGAAGUUCGAAAGUGCGGGUAUCGAACAGG
rnacentral:rRNA from 1 species